rnacentral:lncRNA from 1 species
CUCACGGCCACCCUGGGAAGGAGGCUUGACUUGUGACAUCCACCCCUCUUCACGGCUGAGGAACUUUGGCCCCGAGCGAGGAAGCGACCGGCCCACGGCCACACGCCCGGAGUGGGGGGCAGCAUCUUCUACUAUGUGCAUCUACAUUGGAUGGCAGUGGAGCAACACAGAUUGUUUUCUGACAAAAAUCAGCCAAGUACUAGGAGAGGCAGGACUUUAGAAGUGGAGGAGAUGGAGAAGGAAGCUUAGGUUACUAUGGAGUGUGCAAAAAGGUCCUGUGGAUUUAGAUACCACCACACACAAAUGGUAUGUAAUACUCACUUGAAGACAAAUCAGCCAGAGGGAUCUAACAGCAUUGACCCAUUCUCUGGUCUUCUAGCAUCCAUCAUAGUUUUGUGCUCCUUUUCCAUGAAACACAGCUGUUGUUGGAAGGUACCUGCCCAGAUAAGGACUGCAUUUCCUCUAGCAUCCAGAUGGGACCAAAUGACUGCUGGCCAAUAGAAGUGAGUGGAAAGGACUGACUCCAGUUCCAGGUUGGGCCUCCAACUGCUCUGGGCACGUCGAUGGAACAGAACACCACCUCCACCCCAAUACCACCAAUUCAACUUUACAUGAAUUAUAAGCGAGAAAUAA